CCUACGGGUGGCAGCAGUGAGGAAUAUUGGUCAAUGGACGGAAGUCUGAACCAGCCAUGCCGCGUGCAGGAAGAAGGCACUAUGAGUUGUAAACUGCUUUUGUACAAGGGUAAACCUGAAUACGCGUAUCUGUCUGAAAGUAUCGUACGAAUAAGGAUCGGCUAACUCCGUGCCAGCAGCCGCGGUAAUACGGAGGAUUCAAGCGUUAUCCGGAUUCAUUGGGCUUAAAGGGAGCGUAGGCGGGCGUUCAAGUCAGCUGUAAAAUCGCGCGGCUCAACCGCGGCCCGCAGUUGAAACUGGACGCCUUGAGUUCACAACAGGCAGGCGGAAUUCGUGGUGUAGCGGUGAAAUGCAUAGAUAUCACGAGGAACCCCGAUUGCGAAGGCAGCCUGCCGGGGUGCGACUGACGCUGAGGCUCGAAGGUGCGGGUAUCAAACAGGAUUAGAUACCCUAGUAGUC
rnacentral:rRNA from 1 species